rnacentral:rRNA from 1 species
UACGUAGGGUGCAAGCGUUGUCCGGAAUUAUUGGGCGUAAAGAGCUCGUAGGCGGUCUGUCGCGUCGGCUGUGAAAACCCGGAGCUCAACUCCGGGCCUGCAGUCGAUACGGGCAGACUGGAGUUCGGCAGGGGAGAACGGAAUUCCUGGUGUAGCGGUGAAAUGCGCAGAUAUCAGGAGGAACACCGGUGGCGAAGGCGGGUCUCUGGGCCGUAACUGACGCUGAGGAGCGAAAGCGUGGGGAGCGAACAGG